AACCCGUAGAUCCGAUCUUGCGGUAUAAUUGAGUCACACAAGCCCGAGUCUGUGGGUCUG
rnacentral:pre_miRNA from 1 species